AACGUAGGGGGCCAGCGUUGCUCGGAAUUACUGGGCGUAAAGGGUCCGUAGGCGGUGUGGCAAGUCGGAAGUGAAAUCUCAGGGCUUAACCCUGAGGCUGCUUCUGAAACUGCCGUGCUAGAGUGCGAUAGAGGCGAGUGGAAUUGCAGGUGUAGCGGUGAAAUGCGUAGAUAUCUGCAGGAACACCAGAGGCGAAAGCAGCUCGCUGGGUCGCAACUGACGCUGAGGGACGAAAGCUAGGGGAGCGAACGGG
rnacentral:rRNA from 1 species